GAUGAACGCUGGCGGCGUGCCUAAUACAUGCAAGUCGAGCGAACGGACGAGAAGCUUGCUUCUCUGAUGUUAGCGGCGGACGGGUGAGUAACACGUGGAUAACCUACCUAUAAGACUGGGAUAACUUCGGGAAACCGUAGCUAAUACCGGAUAUAUUUUGAAACGCAUGGGUUCAAAGGGAAAGACGGUCUUGCUGGCACUUAUAGAUGGAUCCGCGCUGCAUUAGCUAGUUGGUAAGGUAACGGCUUACCAAGGCAACGAUGCAUAGCCGACCUGAGAGGGUGAUCGGCCACACUGGAACUGAGACACGGUCCAGACUCCUACGGGAGGCAGCAGUAGGGAAUCUUCCGCAAUGGGCGAAAGCCUGACGGAGCAACGCCGCGUGAGUGAUGAAGGUCUUCGGAUCGUAAAACUCUGUUAUUAGGGAAGAACAUAUGUGUAAGUAACUGUGCACAUCUUGACGGUACCUAAUCAGAAAGCCACGGCUAACUACGUG
rnacentral:rRNA from 1 species